UACGGAGGGUGCGAGCGUUAUUCGGAAUUACUGGGCGUAAAGCGCGUGCAGGCGGGGGAGUGGGUCUGAUGUGAAAGCCCGGGGCUUAACCCCGGAAGAGCAUUGGAAACUGCUUUUCUUGAGUUUCGGAGAGGAAGGGGGAAUUCCCGGUGUAGAGGUGAAAUUCGUAGAGAUCGGGAGGAACACCAGUGGCGAAGGCGCCCUUCUGGACGACAACUGACGCUGAGACGCGAAAGCGUGGGGAGCAAACAGG
rnacentral:rRNA from 1 species